CAAACUGAAGAUGGCGACCGGCGCACGGGUGAGUAGCACGUAUCCAACCUGCCGAUAACUCGGGGAUAGCCUUUCGAAAGAAAGAUUAAUAUCCGAUGGUAUAUUAAAACCGCAUGGUUUUACUAUUAAAGAAUUUCGGUUAUCGAUGGGGAUGCGUUCCAUUAGUUUGUUGGCGGGGUAACGGCCCACCAAGACUACGAUGGAUAGGGGUUCUGAGAGGAAGGUCCCCCACAUUGGAACUGAGACACGGUCCAA
rnacentral:rRNA from 1 species